UUGCAUUUGUUUUCAUAACAAUACUAUCAACUACUAUUUUUGCAAAUUUAAAAUACCAAGCCACUUUGUGUACUGCCUUUUUUUCCUUUGUAUACUAUAAAGUCCCCUCUAUAAAUUGUUCCUUGUGGGUUUGGUGUUGCUUUAGAAUAUUGCUGGUGGAGGUCCCUAGUCUCAGAUAGAUGGUGGUUUCCAACAUUUUUGUUGGUUGAAUGACUUGUUGCACUUCAAAACUGUAAAAUGAAAUAUUUUAAUAUAUGUUGCUACUGCUACAAUAUUGAACUACUAGCAUUGCGACUAAUUUUUCUCCCAUGUGUGUUUCUUUACAGGUUCAGUGCUGAGUUGAUCUUCAUUACCUUAAAAUAUUUGGUAGAAGAAAGAAAAGAUGGAAAAAGGGAAAGAAAGUGUGUGUCACACCUAGUUGAUUUGUGUCUUUGGGUGAAAAUAAAGUUUGUAGUAGUGAUAACCUCUGUCUGCUCCAAACCAUGAAAUCUUUUUACUACCCUCCCAGUAGUCAUGGACAAUAUCCCCUUUUGUGUGGCACCAUGCAAAGAAGAUGAAAGAUGGUUUCUGCUGUAAAGAACUUUUAAUCUAAAUAAAAAGUAAGAGACAAGGACACAAUGAGACAAUGUCAGCAAA